rnacentral:misc_RNA from 1 species
UGUCAAGGCUCCUCUCCA